GACGGAGGGUGCUAGCGUUGUUCGGAAUUACUGGGCGUAAAGGGCGCGUAGGCGGCUACGGCAGUCGGGUGUGAAAGCCCGGGGCUCAACCCCGGAACGGCAUCCGAUACUCUGUGGCUAGAGACCGGAAGAGGUGGGUGGAAUACCCAGUGUAGAGGUGAAAUUCGUAGAUAUCGGGAGGAACACCGGUGGCGAAGGCGGCGACCUGGGUAGAUACUGACGCUGAGGCGCGAAAGCGUGGGGAGCAAACAGG
rnacentral:rRNA from 1 species